rnacentral:lncRNA from 1 species
CGCAACUUUCUCUUUCUAGAAGUGAUUGCAGUAGAAAACUGUUAUCUGUCAUUGUCACUUAUCACUCUGACAGGCUAGUGAACAGGAAACAACUGCACAUCAAACAGGAGCUGCUAUCAUCAAUCCCAGAAGAGGGGUACCAAAAGAGAAACCACUUUUUUUAUAGCUCUCUAAAGGAUAAGCAAUCACUGGAAAAGAAAAUGGUCAAAUUCAUUACAACAGGGAAGAAGUCUCUAAUCAAACAAGAAUUUGAUGAGGUGUAUGCAGAUCAUUUGAAGUUGCAGGUAUGCAGCAGUGUCCAAUUAUUACUGUUCAAUACAAAAAAAGAACUGAGCUGUCAUUCGCUUUGCUUGUUCAGAUAGAGAGGAGAUAAGUGCACCAAGAAAGAGCUUUGAGUUCCUCAAGUUCAUUAGAUGAUAAGGAAUCAGAGGAUAUUGUCAAGUGCUUCUGUAGAAUAUUUAUGAGAAUAGGCACAUUCAAUGACAAAUUAGGGAAAUCAAAAACAACUUCCAGUUGUGCAUGUGCAUGCAGAAAGGAAAGGAUCAGUCGUGAUCCCUAUGGUAUCUGUUCAUAAUCUGAGUGAGAUAUUGGUACAUAUAGUAGUUUAUGUGAGACUAAAACCUAAAAUGUGGAUAUUGAUCAAACAGGAAGUGUAGUGUUUCAGAUCCAUAAUCAGUAAUUAAGCUGAUGGUUGCUAAUAUGUGUGUUUAUCUAACCUAAUAAACAUAUUUGAGUUUUUAUUCGGGAAACUAUCAAGACGAAACUUGCAUUUUGGAUAAACACUUACUUUGAUAUCAUCUUAGUUUUCCUAACAUGUUAAGGGUACCCACAAUUAUUUUGGUUAUAUUUUAGGUGUACUUACCUGAGUGUCCUUAAAUGAUUGUGGUUCUAAUGCAGAAGGAACAAUAUUCUCAACAUUUGUCU